AAGGAAUUAGGUCAGUGGUUAGACCCCCAUUCUUACACAAUGGUAGCAGUUGUUCGAUUCAACUAUUCCUUA
rnacentral:tRNA from 1 species